AACGAACGCUGGCGGCAUGCCUCAUACAUGCAAGUCGAACGAGGUCUUCGGACCUAGUGGCGCACGGGUGAGUAACAUGUGGGAAUCUACCUGAAGGUUCGGAAUAACUGCGGGAAACUGUAGCUAAUACCGGAUGUGUCUGCAAAGAGAAAGAUUUAUCGCCUUCAGAUGAGCCCGCACUAGAUUAGCUAGUUGGUGAGGUAAUUGCUCCACCAAGGCUACGAUCUAUAGCUGAUUUGAGAGGAUGAUCAGCCACACUGGGACUGAGACACGGCCCAGACUCCUACGGGAGGCAGCAGUAGGGAAUAUUGGACAAUGGGGGAAACCCUGAUCCAGCAAUGCCGCGUGAGUGAAGAAGGCCUUCGGGUUGUAAAGCUCUUUCAUAAAUGAUGAUAAUGACAUUAGUUGAAGAAGAAGCCCCGGCUAACUUCGUGCCAGCAGCCGCGGUAAUACGAAGGGGGCUAGCGUUGUUCGGAAUCACUGGGCGUAAAGCGUAUGUAGGCGGAUCAAAAAGUUAGAUGUGAAAUCCCUGGGCUCAACCCAGGAACUGCAUUUAAAACUAGUGAUCUAGAAUUUGGUAGGGGUUAGUAGAAUUUCCAGUGUAGAGGUGAAAUUCGUAGAUAUUGGGAAGAAUACCAGUGGCGAAGGCGACUAACUGGGCCAUUUUUGACGCUGAGAUACGAAAGCGUGGGUAGCAAACAGGAUUAGAUACCCUGGUAGUCCACGCAGUAAACGAUGAGUGCUAGUCGCUGGGACAAUAGUUUCAGUGUCGAAGCUAACGCAUUAAGCACUCCGCCUGGGAAGUACGGUCGCAAGAUUAAAACUCAAAUAAAUUGACGGGGGCCCGCACAAGCGGUGGAGCAUGUGGUUUAAUUCGAAGCAACGCGAAGAACCUUACCAGACCUUGACAUGGUAUGUUUGAAUUACAGAAUCGUAAUUCUUCAGUUCGGCUGGCAUACACACAGGUGCUGCAUGGCUGUCGUCAGCUCGUGUCGUGAGAUGUUGGGUUAAGUCCCGCAACGAGCGCAACCCUCAUUUUUAGUUGCCAUCAGGUUAAGCUGGGCACUCUAAAAAAACUGCCGGUGAUAAGCUGGAGGAAGGCGGGGAUGACGUCAAGUCCUCAUGGCCCUUACGGUCUGGGCUACACACGUGCUACAAUGGUGGUGACAAUGGGCAGCAAUACUGCAAAGUAAAGCUAAUCCCAAAAAACCAUCUCAGUUCGGAUUGGACUCUGCAACUCGAGUCCAUGAAGUUGGAAUCGCUAGUAAUCGUAGAUCAGCGUGCUACGGUGAAUACGUUCUCGGGCCUUGUACACACCGCCCGUCACGCCAUGGGAGUUGGUUUUACCUUAAGCCGGUGCGCUAACCGCAAGGAAGCAGCCGUCCACGGUAGGGUCAGCGACUGGGGCGAAGUCGUAACAAGGUAACCGUAGGGGAACCUGCGGUUGGAUCACCUCCUUUCU
rnacentral:rRNA from 1 species